CCCUUCUACCCCGACUCUUCCAAUUCACUAUGUAACUACCCGUUUCGUGUUUCUUUCUUUCUCUCCCGAGUCAUCUCCUUCUGAAACUCGAUCUGAUCACUGAGAAUCUACGACGACGAAGAAGGUGGAGGAGGAAGAGGAAGAAUGAUAAUCUCAGGCUACGUAAUCGUUGUUCUAUCUGUAACUGUAUUCUAUUGCGUCGAUCCCGGAGUAGGAGACUCCUCUGACUUCGAUGAAUUCAGCGAAUCCGAAGAGGAGCUCGAUCCCGGCUCGUGGCGACGGAACUUUCGAUAGGUUAACGGAGGAAGCGGUGGAGGAGAUAGAGGCGGCUUCUUCAUCCGGAGAUCCGCGCUCGCAGUCGCUGAUGGGCUUCGUCUACGGGACGGGGGCAAAUCCUUCCUUCACCAUAACUUUGCUGCUGAAGGUGGGAACAUGCAGUCAAAGAUGACAUUUGCCUUCACGUAUCUGCGACAAGAUAUGCAUGAUAAGGCUGUGAAACCGCUGUGAAUAGCUUCCUGAUCUCAAAGGACUGUCCCGUGGUGGAACCAACUAGGAUCCACAGCGGGACUGAAGAAAACAAAGGCGCUCUAAGGAAAUCACGAGGGGAGGAGGAUGAGGAUUUUUCAGAUAUUGGAGUAUCAAGCGCAGAAAGGCAAUGCUGCGGCUAUGUACAAGAUUGGACUGUUCUACUACUUUGGUCUGCGAGGGUUAAGGCGUUGCACUGGUUUUCGAAGGCGGUGGAGAAAGGAGAGCCGAGGAUUUUGUUUCCUCAUGUAGUCGUAUAAUGUUCAUUUUCGGUCGCCUCCUCUGCCUCUGGGAUUCGCAUAACAUCAAGAAGAAUGAUGAAUUUAUGGGAAUCAGCCUCCUCUUACUAGAUGAACAGAUUUAGUUGGGCAAAUCCUUUCCGUUCAAGGCUCUGAUCUGAACAACUCUGCAGCAACAACUCGACUUGCCGUCCGUUUCCUUACUGACCCGUAAGCCAUGAAUUCAUCCUUAAAUAGUUUUGAUCCUUAUCUCAUUUAGUUCUUUCUUUCUAAUAAUUCCGUUGUGGUGUAAUGGAAUGGAAUUCACCACGGUGAAUCCAAAAAUAUUUGGAGGUAUGGUUAUCUACUUUAAAGAAUAAAACAUGUUCAUAGUUAUAUUUGGAGGUCUUUCCCGAGUUGAUACCAUGGAAGGAAGAAAAAAAAAGAGUUCGUAUCAAUUGGAGAACUUAACACGUUCAUUGCCAACUCCAGUGAACAGACAGAAGAAGCUGAUUUUCUCUGUAAGGCUCAGAUUGUGGGAGUCGUCCAGCAAAAUGGCUUGUCGUUUGUAUCUUGCACAGGUUGCAACAUGAAGCUCGCAAAAUCUCUCUGGUGCAACAGAUGUGUUUCUCCUAACGCACCGGGGUCAUCGGCUGUUGAUGACGGAAAGGAAAGUGCAACUUUUGUUGUCUUUGACAGGGAGAUGAUCAAACUCAUCAAGAAAGAGGCAAAGUCUGGCUCCUGCGUAGAUACGUUUUAACUUCUUAGAUUGGUUUUAAAAAAAAUUCCCUUACUCUAAAUGCCCCCACAAACGCCAAGCCUACUACAGAUUAGUGGCAGUGGGAGGAAUGGAGCUACCAAAAUGCCUCGAGGAGCUAGCUGGUAAUGGAUACCUUUCCAGCUACGUGUAACUCCAUAUAAUUUCACCUCCAACCACCACAGAUUCACCGUCUCUGCCAUUAGUGACAACCUCUUCUUUGGCCCUCAGAGUGGCAACAGCAACAAAGCUCCAGUCAUGGAUCUCAAAUCUGGACAACCAACAGCAUUUGCCAGCUCCGCUGGUGAUGCGGCAAAGAUAGCACUAGGAAAUGAUGGAGCAAAUCAGCCAGGUUCUGCAUACUGCAGCCAACGACAAAACCCGCAAACACCCACGUGAGUGAUAGUAUCAAGGCUAUCAAACCGUCAACUCCACUUAGAUUUUGCUCAUUUUAAUUUAUUAUAUCCAUAUAUUUUCCCUACUUUGAACUUUGGUUCUUUUGGAUUUUCUGAAAAUUUCUCUUAAAGAAUUAAAUAAUUAAAGUAACGUUGACGUGUCUUUGAUUGUCCGUAGCUUUAUGAAUGUUCAGCUCUGAUGUCAACAUUGCAUUAACGUAGGUACCUGUUAACAAGCAUGUUGUGUUGCU